UACGAAGGGUGCAAGCGUUACUCGGAAUUACUGGGCGUAAAGCGUGCGUAGGUGGUUUGUUAAGUCUGUUGUGAAAGCCCCGGGCUCAACCUGGGAAUGGCAAUGGAUACUGGCAAGCUAGAGUGCGGUAGAGGGUAGUGGAAUUCCCGGUGUAGCGGUGAAAUGCGUAGAGAUCGGGAGGAACACCAGUGGCGAAGGCGAAUCUCUGGACAGUUACUGACACUGAGGCACGAAGGCCAGGGGAGCAAACGGG
rnacentral:rRNA from 1 species